UACAGAGGGGGCAAGCGUUGUUCGGAAUUACUGGGCGUAAAGGGCGCGUAGGCGGGAUGGCAAGUCGGUCGUGAAAUCCCUCGGCUCAGCCGAGGAACGUCGAUCGAUACUGCUGUUCUUGAGGAUUGCAGAGGAGACUGGAAUUCCCGGUGUAGCGGUGAAAUGUGUAGAGAUCGGGAGGAACACCGGUGGCGAAGGCGGGUCUCUGGGCAAUUCCUGACGCUGAGGCGCGAAAGCGUGGGGAGCAAACGGG
rnacentral:rRNA from 1 species